rnacentral:rRNA from 1 species
AGUGAACGCUGGCGGUAGGCCUAACACAUGCAAGUCGAACGGCAGCACAGUAAGAGCUUGCUCUUACGGGUGGCGAGUGGCGGACGGGUGAGGAAUACAUCGGAAUCUACUUUUUCGUGGGGGAUAACGUAGGGAAACUUACGCUAAUACCGCAUACGACCUACGGGUGAAAGCAGGGGAUCUUCGGACCUUGCGCGAUUGAAUGAGCCGAUGUCGGAUUAGCUAGUUGGCGGGGUAAAGGCCCACCAAGGCGACGAUCCGUAGCUGGUCUGAGAGGAUGAUUCGCCACCCUGGAACUGAGACACGGUCCAGACUCCUACGGGAGGCAGCAGUGGGGAAUAUUGGACAAUGGGCGCAAGCCUGAUCCAGCCAUACCGCGUGGGUGAAGAAGGCCUUCGGGUUGUAAAGCCCUUUUGUUGGGAAAGAAAAGCAGCAGGUUAAUACCCCGCUGUUCUGACGGUACCCAAAGAAUAAGCACCGGCUAACUUCGUG